rnacentral:rRNA from 1 species
GAACUGUCCUAACGUUGUUCGGAAUCACUGGGCUUAAAGGGCGCGUAGGCGGUCGAUCAAGUCAGGGGUGAAAUCCUGCAGCUUAACUGUAGAAGUGCCUUUGAUACUGGUCGUCUCGAGGGAGGUAGGGGUGUGUGGAACUUCCAGUGGAGCGGUGAAAUGCGUUGAUAUUGGAAGGAACGCCGGAGGCGAAAGCGACGCACUGGACCUCUUCUGACGCUGAGGCGCGAAAGCUAGGGGAGCAAACGGGAUUAGAUACCCCGGUAGUCCUAGCCCUAAACGAUGGGUACUAGAUUGUAGACUGAUCAUGGGUUUACAGUCGAAGCAAAAGUGUUAAGUACCCCGCCUGGGGAGUAUGGUCGCAAGGCUG